CCUUUCGUAGCUUAGUGCUAAGAGUACUGGUGCGUAAAACCAGGUGUCCGCGGGUUCGAUUCCCGGCGAGGGUG
rnacentral:tRNA from 1 species